rnacentral:lncRNA from 12 species
CGUGGAGCCUGCUUUUCCCUCUGCCUGGGUCUCUGCCUCUCUCUCUCUCUGUAUCUCUCAUGAAUAAAUAAAUAAAAUCUUAAAAAAAAAAAAAAAAAGCCAGAAUGAGGAAGAACUACCUACAGUGUGGGCAGUUUGAGAACAUGAGUGAGUCAGGUCUGCAAAUAACAGGGGCAUUUUCAAUGGUUAGUCAGCAUUUUGUGCUCUUCUCCAAUCAGGUUUUAGUGAAGAUUAAUCUAGAGGUGACUUACUGGCUCUUAAAGGAAAGCCGUCAGAAUUGCAGAAGUGGGGGGCCUCUCAGGGCUCACGGGCUGAGCUAGUGCUUGCAGCCUGUCCUCCAGGGGACCGGGCGCCAGGGGGAGGCUGUGGGAUCCCCACUGAAGGACAAAGGGCACCCAGGCGCAGAUGGCUCAGGUCCACUAGAAAGCCAGCCUAUUUUUAACCGGGCAGCCAGGAUGUGAGGAGUCUAGGAUUCAGCUUCUAUUUGUGGAAAGUCACAGCAUCAGAGUGAAAGAGUAGAUGAGACUCCCAGGCCCGGCUCCUGUCCAGCCCCGACACUCAAGGGACUCACUGGCCCACUGGGUCCCCCGGGGCCAUCAUUCCCCGUUCAGGGGGUGGGGGGUCCCCUUCCCCAACCAAGGAGGCUCGCUCUCUCCAGGCAGCAGCCACAGGAGGAGGAUCCAGUGCAGAGGGCCGCCGGGGUCACCAGGAGAGGAGCCGGUGUCCACGGGGCGCCUGCAGAACCGGACAGUAGAUCACAGCACACCAGGUGACCCACCUGCCGCUUCCAGCCCAGGCUCACAGCCUCGGAUCCCGUGUUUGCCUGCCCUUCCCACCACUGUCGCAGCCCCGUGGCAGCCCCAACUCCGCCUGGGAGCACCAGCUCCCCCCUCCCACGAGGGAGCCUCCUCGGGGUACAGAGCUCCCUCCGGUCGGGCUGCGGGGGGAGGAGCCGGGCCCGCGGGUCGCACCCACCGUGGGGACCGAGAGCGAGUCACCGCGAUCACCGCGAGCUGGCCUCCCGGCCCAGGCCCUGCCCGCCUACCUGGGAACGAAGCAAACGGCCCCCCAAGUCCUUGACCAGAGGCCUGCUGUAAAUAAAGAGCA